rnacentral:rRNA from 1 species
GAAUUUUGGACAAUGGGCGAAAGCCUGAUCCAGCAAUCACGCGCGUGUGAAGAAGGUCUUCGGAUUGUAAAGCACUAUAAGUUGGGAGAAUGGGUUGUCGAUUAUUACUCUACAAUUUUGACGUUACCGACAGAAUACGCACCGGCUAAAUGCGUGCAAGCAGCCGCUGUAAUACGAAGGGUGCAAGCGUUACGCGGAAUUACUGGGCGUAAAGAGCGCGUAGGUGGUUUGUUAAGUUGGAAGUGAAAGCCCCAGGCUCAACCUGGGAACUGCUUUCAAAACUGGCAAGCUAGAGUAUGGCAGAGGGUGGUGGAAUUUCCUGUGUAGCGGUGAAAUGUGUAGAUAUAGGAAGGAACACCAGUGGCGAAGGCGACCACCUGGGCUAAUACUGACACUGAGGUGCGAAAGCGUGGGGAGCAAACAGG